rnacentral:rRNA from 1 species
UACGUAGGGUCCAAGCGUUAUCCGGAAUCACUGGGCGUAAAGCGUGCGUAGGCGGGAUCUUAAAUGUGAUGUGAAAUCCUGUGGCUCAACCAUAUGGACUAUAUCGCAGACUGGGAACCUGGAGGAUGGCAGAGGCUAGUGGAAUUACCGGUGUAGCAGUGAAAUGCGUAGAUAUCGGUAGGAACACCAAUGGCGAAGGCAGCUAGCUGGGCCAUUUCUGACGCUAAGGCACGAAAGCGUGGGGAGCGAACGGG